rnacentral:lncRNA from 1 species
CGGUCUCAAAGGCUACAAUUAGUGAAGAUGCUAUUCAUGUCAAUAUUAAACAAGAGGAUACAGAGAUGAUCUUAUCGACGGCUCCGAAGAUAGUGACAUUUCAACCUGCUUCGUACGCUGUCAUGGUGGCUAGUUUUGUUGCUUCUAAAGUAUGUAUUGGUCCUUUGGCUGAUUUUGAGAGAUGUCAAACUGCAAAUCAUUAAAGCGGCUAGGUUCCUUUGGAUAUCAACUAAGUUUCAUGAGAAGAUUUGUGUUCCUUUAUGUCAA